rnacentral:rRNA from 1 species
UCUACGUCGGCGACCGGCGCACGGGUGCGUAACGCGUAUGCAACCUACCCAUUACAGGGGGAUAACACUGAGAAAUCGGUACUAAUACCCCAUAACAUCCAGGGAGGCAUCUUCUUGGGUUGAAAACUCCGGUGGUAAUGGAUGGGCAUGCGUUGUAUUAGUUAGUUGGUGGGGUAACGGCUCACCAAGACAACGAUACAUAGGGGGACUGAGAGGUUAACCCCCCCACAUUGGUACUGAGACACGGACCAAACUCCUACGGGAGGCAGCAG